rnacentral:rRNA from 1 species
GACGAACGCUGGCGGCGUGCUUAACACAUGCAAGUCGAACGGACGAGUGAGAUAAGUUUACUUAACUCACAAGUUAGUGGCGGACGGGUGAGUAACACGUGGAUAAUCUACCUGCAACACCGGGAUAACGCUGUGAAAACGGUGCUAAUACCGGAUACGUUCCCUUGUGCGCAUGUAUGAGGGAAGAAAGCUCAGGCGGUUGCAGAUGAGUCCGCGGCUGAUUAGCUAGUUGGUGAGGUAAAGGCUCACCAAGGCGAUGAUCAGUAGCCGGCCUGAGAGGGUGAACGGCCACACUGGGACUGAGACACGGCCCAGACUCCUACGGGAGGCAGCAGUGGGGAAUCUUCCGCAAUGGGCGCAAGCCUGACGGAGCAACGCCGCGUGGGUGAAGAAGGCCUUCGGGUUGUAAAGCCCUGUCUUAUGGGAAGAAGUCAGUGACGGUACCAUAGGAGGAAGCCACGGCUAACUACGUG